UCUGUGUCUGGCUGGUUGGCUGCUGUACCCCAGAUGGCUGAAACAGCGCCUGUCCCACAGCAGGUGCCUCAUAAAUAGCACAGAGCUGUCCUGACUCACAGCCUGAGUGUCCUCUGCUUCAGGUGAAGUUCUGGUCAUCGCUGAGGCUUCACCCAGAGGCCCUCUCCUCCAGGAAGUCUCCCUGGAGUGUCCCGUGGGCCACACCCUCUCCUGUCAAGGCCUGUCGAGGACGCUUGAUCUGUUUCCACCCUGUCGCCACCUGUUCCUGAGUCGGUCACCGUGGACUCCUCCACAGCCCUGGGUCCCUAGGGACUGGCUGUGGCGCUGGAUCCUAGCAGAACGGAUCUGCGUGACCUCUGGGGCUGCACAUCCCGUUGUGGAACCCACUAUGCCUAGAUGAGCGAAGCAGUGAACGGGCACAUGCUCGUGAAUCACAGCUUUCAAGAGCAGAUGCUCUGCAACCAGAUCAUUCGGUUGCCUUCUUCACUUAUUAGCUGUGUGUCCUCGGGCAAGUUGCUUAACCUCUCUGAGCCAUAUUUUUCUCAUCUGUAAAGAGGAGAUGGAAGCAGUCUUGACUUGAAAGGGUGGUGGUGAGGAGUCAAUGAGAUCACCCAUGUAAAGUGCUGAAAGCAGGGCCUGGUACCUUGUCAGCUAUGACUAGUGGGAAAAUAUUUCUUCCUGGAAAUAAGGCUGAAACAGUGGCCAGAGUCAGAAAGUCAGACUGAGGACUCAGGAGAGAAAGUUUGUCAUCGACUCUCCUCUGCUGCAGGGCAGUGCUGGUGCAGGCUGGGGCUGAACCCCUCUUUGCAGCCAGCAGGCGAUGAGAGUCGGUGGGGACUGGGCAGUCUGAGCCCUGCCUCCAGCUUGUGUAUGACCAGAGGGGUUCCCCGUGCACACUGUGGGAGACCAGCAUACCAUGGGCUGGUUGGAGGCUUGGGUGGCUCAAUGGGGCGGACGUGCUUUGCGAGCAGGAGGACGAACAGGGCUCCCGAGCCGGAGCUGCAAACCCGGGCAGCUGCUGGCCAGGGACGUUGCCUGUCAGGAUCUCAACUCACUCACCCUCUGCCCAAUUGGCAGCUCCAGUUCCUCGCUUAUGAGAAUAAUCUUUCCCCAACUAAUCUAUGGACGGACCACCUCACAUUACCUAGCAGGCUCUAUUUAUACAUGAAUACUACCAGCACCCCUGGCCAGCCCCAGCCUGGUCCCAUUGGAAUCCCGGAGCUGGGACUCAGAAUCCUGUCUUCAUAACAAGUUUCCCCAGGACUCAACAGUACUGCCCAUUUGGAAAUGGUUGUGUACGGACCCACACUCCCUGCUUUCUCAUUUUUAAGGGACUCGGAGUCUCUCUCUGCGAGGGGCUGUAGCGCAGUGGUCAGGGUCAGACAGGCCGAGGCCCAGUUUUCUUGUCUGUGAACAGGGACAGUAAGAGUGCUUGUUUUCCUCAAAAACGAAGACUGAAUCCUUCAGUCAAGGCCUGGCCGGGAGGUGCUCAGUAAGUAGGAAUCAGGAUCAUUGCUAUAACAGUAGUAAUAAGUAAUAAUAAUAAUUAUUAUUACUGAUUGUCGUUGUGUUAGAUGUGAAAUAUUUCUUCCAGGAAUUUAAGUUAAUUUUUAAAAAAGGAGUUUGAAUGUUCUAGAAAAGAAACCCCUUAUCCACGAGAUCAGAGCAAAGCAGCCCGCAAGGCGGCCGCUGGUUGCGUUCAAGGGCCGCGAAGCCGAAUGGAACCCCUCCCGCGUCUUCGCGCUCCCCU
ensembl:lncRNA